CUGGGCCCCCUGUCUUCAUCUGCCACCGGCAGGAGAAGCCGUGGCCAUCCUGGGGCCAUGCUGCAACUGCAAUAGUAGCCAAAGCCGGGCAGGUGCCACCUCCCAGGGGCAGGCUGAGCUGGUUGCAAGUGGAUGUUUGGUUUUAACUUGGCUUCUUGCAUGCUGACUGUUUCUUGCAACCUGCUGUAGGUCCCCACAGACGACUUCCAGUAGGGACGAAAGAUCCUCCCAGCCACUGUCACUGCUACAGGCAGACGUGACAGUGGUUUUGAGGUCCUCCAGAGCUGUGCAGCUUUGCAGUUGCAGACCUAGAUGUUUGCUGGGAUGUGAUGGAUGUGAAUCCUGCAGUGGGCAGGACUAUACGCAGCACCUCGUCACUCGUGGUUGCUCCUGGAGUUACUCACAAGCAACGAGCCAUUUCCGUGGGCACAUCAUCACCGUGCAGCUGUCCACAGAAGUGGGACUGCCAGCAUCUGACACAGCCAUAAAGAGGCAGGAAAACACCUCUGAGCUCCCCUGAAAUCUGAUGGAAGGGGAGAGCUUGGCAUGGGAUGGAUCUGAGACCGAGAGGUGCAAGCGGAAGGGAGCACGCUGCACUCAGUCUUGGGGGUGGAGGCCGGGUCAGCCGUCCCUGAAACCCCUCGCACACCCUGGUGGGUCCCCAAGUGUCAUUCAGCCUGAAGGAAGUUGUCCAUCAAAGCCGGGGGAGGCUGUGGGAAUACCUGCAGGG